ensembl:lncRNA
CUCUGUCCAUGGAAGUGAACGGAGCGUUCCCUCUUCGUCAUAACUAUCAAACCAAACAUCCUUCACAUUCACCGAGCGAACAUUAUGAAAAAUAAAGAAAGUUGCCGGCCGUGGCUGCCAUGGACAUGGCUGCGCUGGAGUCCGAGUCAUCGAUGAUGGGAGAACACCAGGGUUCCCUUGUGCUGGCCAUCCUGUCGUCCAUCCUCCUCUUUGUCAUCACGCUGGUGUUCAAUGGUCUGGCGGGACCUGGAAUAUAUCCAUUUCUGGGGACAACGGCCAACAUAUCAGGGGAGUAUGAGACGGAGAUCACGCCUGCAGGCUGGACCUUCGCCAUCUGGUCUCUUAUAUACGUGUGGCUGGUCCUCAUGUUCGUCUACAUCCUCUCCGGCUGCUGCAGGAAAAACUCCUACGGCUAUGUGUACUGCAGUCCUCCUGUCCUUUCACAUGGCUUUUUCAUGGCAUGGUGCAUGAACAUGGGCUUGAACACUGCAUGGCUGUUUCUGUGGGAUAGAAGCUUGAUGAUCGUUGCCGCUGUGUUCCUUCUCCUGAUUGCCGGCUCAAACUACAUCAUGAUCUCCUUCGCCUGCCGCGGUCUCCAUGUUCACGGCGCGUGGCUCAGCAAAUAUCACAGACUCGAUCUUUGGCUGCACCGUGUGUGUGUUCAGAAUGGUCUGGCCUUGUACGCUACAUGGACAACGGUCGCCACUCUUGUUAAUCUGACCAUUGUGCUCGACUACGAUGCAGAGAUGCUUCCAGAGAACGCUGCCACAGUCACUCUAUCCGUGCUUACGUGUAUUUUGCUGGCCUGGUGUGUUUUAGAGAACUGGGUCCUGGAGAGGCAUGUGCGCUACAUCGUGACAGUGUAUCCAGUGGUGAUCUGGGCCCUCUGUGGGGCCGUGUCCAGCCACUUCGACCCCAGCGCACCCAGCCAGAGUGGCCUCUUCCUAG